rnacentral:rRNA from 1 species
UCGCUGCAUGGCGAGACGAGGAAAUGGAUUCCGCUUCGGGAGGGCCUCGCGGCCUAUCAGCUUGUUGGUGAGGGUAACGGCCCACCAAGGCAUCGACGGGUAGCUGGUCUGAGAGGACGAUCAGCCACACUGGGACUGAGACACGGCCCAGACUCCUACGGGAGGCAGCAGUAGGGAAUCUUGCGCAAUGGGCGAAAGCCUGACGCAGCAACGCCGCGUGGGGGAUGAAGGCUCUCGGGUUGUAAACCCCUUUCAGCAGGGACGAAAUUGACGGUACCUGCAGAAGAAGCCCCGGCCAACUACGUGCCAGCAGCCGCGGUAACACGUAGGGGGCGAGCGUUGUCCGGAUUUAUUGGGCGUAAAGAGCUCGUAGGCGGUUCGGUAAGUCGGGUGUGAAACCUCCAGGCUCAACCUGGAGUCGCCACUCGAUACUGCUGUGACUAGAGUCCGGUAGGGGAGCGUGGAAUUCCUGGUGUAGCGGUGAAAUGCGCAGAUAUCAGGAGGAACACCAGCGGCGAAGGCGGCGCUCUGGGCCGGAACUGACGCUGAGGAGCGAAAGCGUGGGUAGCAAACAGGAUUAGAUACCCUGGUAGUCCACGCCGUAAACGUUGGGCACUAGGUGUGGGACCCUCUCAACGGGUUCCGUGCCGUAGCUAACGCAUUAAGUGCCCCGCCUGGGGAGUACGGCCGCAAGGCUAAAACUCAAAGGAAUUGACGGAAUCGA